rnacentral:lncRNA from 1 species
AGGAGGUACGGGGUAAAGAGAGAUUUGCUUUAAUAACGAGCAGGUGCUUAGAAUUAAUGCAGGGAAGGAAAAGCCUGUGAAGGGACCUGAGCGAGCCCGAAUCCAGGUCAAGCCUGAGGAGACGUCCAGCCAUGUACCACACAGUUAUCAGAUCCAGCACGCAUGUGGAGAAAGCCUGGCUUUUGUGAGAUGUCGAACUCUCAGCUCCUCCUGCACCAUGCCCGCCUGGAUAGCUCCAUGCUUCCCACCUUGAUGAUGAUGGACUGAACCUCUGAAAUGGCCCCUGUAGCCUCUUAUUGUUGCACAGCAACCCAGAAACCCCCUGUCACCUCGGGCCCCUAAUUGGACAUCCUUGCCCAGGGCUGCCUCAGAGCAACAAACAGCAAGCAAGGAAUCUCGGUUCAGUGCGCUGUGUUCUGUGUGGUCCUUAGAGGUCAUUCUAUCCCGACCACACAUGGGGGACAAUGACAAGCAGGCCUGGGCAGCCUGGGAAAGGUCUUCAGCCUGUGUCCUUGGUUGCCUACCAUGAUGGAUUCGCUCCCCUCGACCCCGCCUCUGUUCCUAUUGCUGCCUUCUCGGCCUGUUCUCUGUCACUCAGUAAAAAACUGUCAGUUCUGUUCUCCACG